AUGAUAGGAGUAUUUCUAAUGUAACUUAGGAUGUCAAGUACAUUAGACCACCUAGAAUACAAUAUUUAUUAGGUGUGAAAGUGAUUUCACAUAAUAUGGACUGGGAUUGGAAAAAGUGUAAAGUAUCAAGGGUUUUCUAUAAACAAAGCCCUUGAGUUCAUUGUAAAGGGGUUUCUUUCUUGGAAUGAAUGGAACAACAACUUGUUGGAAUAAAAUAGCUUAUGAGAUUUCUAUUCUAAAUAUUCUUUUAUUAAAAGUUUUUUUUUAAGAGAUAGUUCUAAAUCUUAAUUAUAUUGUUGACGAAUUUUAGCUAUUAAAAGUGUUAAUUUGAUUGUUUUAUUGCUUUAUCAUUUCUGGUUUUAAAUCUCUUUUUAUCUUCUAUUAUAAUUUAUUGAUUGUUAAUCGUGUGAUUACUAAUUGUUUGUUGUGUGAUAACUAAUUGUUUGUUAAUUUGAUUAUGUACAUGAGUUGUAAUUUUCCCACACUCCCUCCUACCAAACAAACAUAGUGUCAAUUUGUUUCGAGGGGAAGGCCUCUUCCGUUAAUGCAGGGGCGGGAAAUUCUUACGUAGAAAAGGAUUACACUAUUUAAAUAUAUCUGCUGAAUAUAUGUAGCGCCAAUUUUCUUCUCUAUCCAAUUGCUUUUUGAUCCAUUGAAAAAAGAUAAGCCCCUCUCUCUCUCUCUUACUAAAAUCUCUGUUUUUAUCGAUGGCGGCUUCCCCAUCUCAUUCUCAGUCCGAUGCUCAACAGAUCAAAGCUCAUCCAGAACCUGAAUCUCAGCUCUCAUCUCUCGUCUACGAUAUGUCACAGCAAGUCCAAGGGGUCAUGGAGAACAUGCUUAAGAUGAUCAAUGAAAUUGACGAAAACUCUUCUGGGAUAAUGGAGUAUAUAGAGAAGUGCAAAGAGUCUGCUAUUGAUAGGAAGAGAGUCUUAGAGGAAGAAAGGGUACGUUUUCAGAAAGCUGCUUUCGCUGUCUUAGACAUGCUCAACAACGGAGAAUAGAUGCGUUAUGGUUUACCUGCCAAGCUGUAAAGGUCUUCAAUCGUUUCAGGCAGAUAGACAAGUUUCCCGGUCGUUUUACCUUCUGUUGUGUUUUCGUUAGGACUAUGUCCAUGGAUAAUCACUCUGACAGGACAUGCCCUCGACCAGGUUCUUGUUGGAAGAACAUAGCAAAGGUUCCCCUUAUUUUGUGGAGAGAGUGUUGAUGGCAUUUCAGAGGGUUUUACUGUGGUGGGCUGCCUCAUCCUUUAAACACUACAGAAACUUUUAGCGAUCUUAGAUACCAUCUCUUACAAUUUUAAUAGUACUAUACACUAUCAAUUCUUUUGAGAAAAAAAGAAGUGAGAUUCACUUCAUUGAGAAACAAUACUGUAGUUUCAAGUAAUUGUGAAAAUUGCACAUGUCAGCAAGUUUUUGCUUCCCUUCCUCAAA